GAAUCCGCUAAGGAGUGUGUAACAACUCACCUGCCGAAUGAAUUAGCCCUGAAAAUGGAUGGCGCUCAAGCGGGUGGCCGACACCACGCCGUCUGGCCAAUUUAUUGCAGUCAGAUGAGUAGGAGGGCGUGACGGCCGUGCCGAAGCAUGCGUGCAGACGCCUGUGGAACGGCCGUUAGUGCAGAUCUUGGUGGUAGUAGCAAGUAUUCAAGCGAGAUCCUUGAAGGGCGAAGCGGGGAAGGGUUCCACGCGAACAUUGAUUGGGCGUGGGUGAGUCGUUCCUAAGCCGAGUGGCAAUUGCUAAGUAUCGGCGAAAGGGAAGCGGGUUGACAUUCCCGCACACGGAUGUGGAGGCGGUGACGCACAAUGCGGCGAACACGCUGGCGACGGCGCUGGGCAGAGUUGUCUUUUCUGUUUGACCUACUCAGCGCGCGGUGUGGAAUCCGCUUGUCGGGAGAAACACGCGUGCCGGGGCAGAGCGCCGGGCCUUUUCCGGCGUCCAGCUCGCCGUCGACGGCCCUUGAAACUUUGCCUGCUGAAUCAUUUCUAUGCUUUUGAUAAAAUCCACGCCGUGGCGUACCGAUCACCGCAUCAGGUCCCCGAGGUGAACAGCCUCUGCUCAAUAUGAACAAUGCAGGUAAGGGAAGUCGGCA
rnacentral:rRNA from 1 species